CGUGGGUAACCUGCCCAAGAGAUCGGGAUAACACCUGGAAACAGAUGCUAAUACCGGAUAACAAUAGAUGAUGCCUAUCAACUGUUUAAAAGAUGGUUCUGCUAUCACUCUUGGAUGGACCUGCGGUGCAUUAGCUAGUUGGUAGGGUAACGGCCUACCAAGGCGAUGAUGCAUAGCCGAGUUGAGAGACUGAUCGGCCACAUUGGGACUGAGACACGGCCCAAACUCCUACGGGAGGCAGCAGGA
rnacentral:rRNA from 1 species